UAAGGAAUAUUGCUCAAUGGGAGAAAUCCUGAAGCAGCAACGCCGCGUGGAGGAUGAAGGGUCUAUGACUUGUAAACUCCUGUAAAGAAGGAAAAAAUUCCCAUUUGAUGGGAGAUGAUGGUACUUCUGGAGUAAGCCCCGGCUAACUACGUGCCAGCAGCCGCGGUAAUACGUAGGGGGCAAGCGUUGUCCGGAUUUACUGGGUGUAAAGGGUGCUCAGGCGGAUUUGUAAGUCAGAGGUGAAAUCUACAGCUUAACUGUGAAACUGCCUUUGNUACUGCAAGCCUAGAGUAUGGAAGAGAGUGAUGGAAUAUCUGGUGUAGCAGUGAAAUGCGUAGAUAUCAGAUAGAACACCAAUGGCGAAGGCAGUCACUUGGUCCAUUACUGACGCUAAAGCACGAAAGCGUGGGUAGCAAACA
rnacentral:rRNA from 1 species